AACGUAGGAGCCAAGCGUUAUCCGAAUUCACUGGGCGUAAAGCGCGUGCAGGCGGCUGGGUAAGUUGGAUGUGAAAUCUCCUGGCUCAACUGGGAGAGGCCGUUCAAUACUACCUGGCUUGAGGGCGACAGAGGGAGGUGGAAUUCCGGGUGUAGUGGUGAAAUACGUAGAUAUCCGGAGGAACACCAGAGGCGAAGGCGACCUCCUGGGUCGUACCUGACGCUGAGAUGCGAAAGCUAGGGGAGCAAACGGG
rnacentral:rRNA from 1 species